rnacentral:rRNA from 1 species
CCUGGCUUAGGAUGAACGCUGGCGGCGUGCCUAAUACAUGCAAGUCGAGCGAGAAAUCUUUCAGACAAAUCUUCGGAAGCGUCAGAGAGAUGGAAAGCGGCGGACGGGUGAGUAACGCGUAGGCAACCUGCCCUUAGCAGAGGGAUAGCCAUUGGAAACGAUGAUUAAAACCUCAUAAUGCUGGAGAAGCACAUGCUUCAUCAGCCAAAGAUUUAUCGGCUAAGGAUGGGCCUGCGUCUGAUUAACUAGUUGGUGAGGUAACGGCUCACCAAGGUGACGAUCAGUAGCCGACCUGAGAGGGUGAUCGGCCACAUUGGAACUGAGACACGGUCCAAACUUCUACGGAAGGCAGCAGUAAGGAAUCUUGCACAAUGGGGGAAACCCUGAUGCCAGCAACGCCGCGUGAACGAUGAAGGCCUUAGGGUUGUAAAGUUCUGAUCUGUGGGAAGAAGAAAGUGACGGUACCACAGGAGAAAGCCCCGGCUAAAUACGUGCCAGCAGCGGC